CUUUAUCUCCGAAGUUAUUAGAAAUAAUGCUGAGCUGAAAACUAAGUCUGAAUCAGAAUUCUGCGUAGAAUCCAAUGGCGCACUCAAUUUUUUUUUCGGGGUAUGGUUUGUUAACUGUUAUACAAUAGACAAACAAUUCUUAAUUCCGUAACGCACCCAAUUCCUAUUGUUCUGUGUCUAUGGCAUGUGUCAUACCACUUCCAUCAGUGAUCUGUGAACCAAUAUUGUACGCUUAGAAUAUAGAUAGAAGGAACGGUAAACAAACAUUUGAACCCGAUCCCGAAUACAAGAGAGAUGAAAGCUUAGACGCGCCAAUCACAACUGAGCUAGCCGAAUUGAAAACGUUGCCAGAUCUAUUUUCAGUACGAAGGAAUGAACGAAGGAGAAGAUCAAAAUUUAUCCGACUAUUCAGAUAAAUUGUGGAUGUGGCAAGUAUACUUGUUUAUGGUGGCAACGUGCAUUAGGAAAUUCUGUCAUCUGGUCCUUGCUUUAGACCACCUCAGUUGGCUAAAUCUUCGUUAUUCCUUGUUUAAAUUAUUUUGUAUUUUCAUUUAUAACCAUUAGAAGUCAUAUAAGAUAUGCCUAGCAAGUGUUUUUUGUGUGGUUUCACUUAUAUUGCGGGAGGUGACAUUAGUCUUCUCAGGUGAGUUCCAUCCAUAGGCGUGCAGAAUCCUGAUUUUUUUUCCUUAAAGCAUAUAUUCAAUUACAAUUAAAAACAAUCCAAAACUAAUUUAUACGACUAAUAAAUGUUUUUUUAAGACUUCCUUCGAAUCAACUCGAACGAGAAAAAUGGUUGCAGAGAAUUUCUUGGAACCGACCGAUGUUGGGAAAAAAAAUUUUCUUUGCUCAAAUCACUUUCCUGAAGAUUGCUUUCGACUAAUAAACCUAAGAAAGAGGCUUAUCCCAGGCAGUUUGCCUUCUCCUUCUGAAAGCAAAUUAGAAAUACCUCUGACCUACUCAGAAGGGAAUGGUAUUGAAGCACGGGACUGUACAGAAUCUUAUUCUAAAACACAAUCACCACCGAAAAAACGAUUGAGAUAUGAGACUUCAACUAUUUUAUCUCUCCUUCAAAAUGUGCAUCUUCUAGCUCUAGUGACACUAAGAACCUAAGGCUUAUCCAAGGAGGUUUGCCUUCUGAAAUUGAAUCUGAAAUACCUCUGACUUACUCAGAAGGGAUAUUGAAGAAACUUAUUUCAAUUUGAGGAUUCACCACGAAUUGAGAAAUCGACAGAGUGAAAAAUUAGAUUCGAAUCGGUUGAGAAGUAGAUUGACAAAAACUAUAAUAUUUGUAAACCAAUAUAUUUUGUUGAUAGUAUUUGAAACCAAUAUUUUUAUAUAUACUGUAUUUCUGUGAUAAAUAUAUUCUGUUGUUUUAUUGAACCAAUAGAUUUUUCUUAUAAUAUUUGUAAACCAAUAUUUUUAUAUUGAUAUUCUGUAUUUCUGUGAUAAAUAUAAUUCUGUUGUUUUUCCUAAUGUCUUUUCUCUCUAUUGCUACAUUCGUGACCUGUUUUCAUAUGAUUAAAUAAUAUACAGUAAUAUUUCCCUUAGAUCAAAUCUAGGAACUCUUCUGGAUACAUUAGUAAUUUUAGUAUAUAGAUAUAUAUAUAUAUAUUUGCUGAGAAUAUUAUUGUUCCCAUAAAAGCAGAAAUGAAAGACAUAAAAUUGCAAAUAAUUGAUUUUUAUCUUUUAGAGAAAGAUUGGGGAACUUAAGUCAGGCACGGAAAAAUAGAAUUUUUUUUUGUCAGUAAUUUCAUUUAUGAAAGAAGUAAUACUACAUCAUUUUGUCAUGUUUCAACUUGAUUCCAAUAAAAUAAAAUAUAGUAAUUAUAUAAAGUUACGCGACACAUAUAUGCGUUGGCCCCUGUUCCACAAAUUCUCAACAGUAAAAA